rnacentral:rRNA from 1 species
CCCUUAGAUGUUCUGGGCCGCACGCGCGCCACACUGAUGCAUUCAACGAGCCUAUCCUUGACCGACAGGUCCGGGUAAUCUUUGAAUCUGCAUCGUGACGGGGAUAGAUUAUUGCAAUUAUUAAUCUUCAACGAGGAAUGCCUAGUAGGCGCAAGUCAUCAGCUUGCGUCGAUUACGUCCCUGCCCUUUGUACACACCGCCCGUCGCUCCUACCGAUUGGGUGUGCUGGUGAAAUGUUCGGAUCGGCCGUUUGUCGCGGUUUCCGCGUCAUGUGGCUGGGAAGUUCAUUAAACCCUCCCACCUAGAGGAAGGAGAAGUCGUAACA